GAUGAACGCUGGCGGCGUGCCUAAUACAUGCAAGUCGAGCGAACGGACGAGAAGCUUGCUUCUCUGAUGUUAGCGGCGGACGGGUGAGUAACACGUGGAUAACCUACCUAUAAGACUGGGAUAACUUCGGGAAACCGGAGCUAAUACCGGAUAAUAUUUUGAACCGCAUGGUUCAAAAGUGAAAGACGGUCUUGCUGUCACUUAUAGAUGGAUCCGCGCUGCAUUAGCUAGUUGGUAAGGUAACGGCUUACCAAGGCAACGAUGCAUAGCCGACCUGAGAGGGUGAUCGGCCACACUGGAACUGAGACACGGUCCAGACUCCUACGGGAGGCAGCAGUAGGGAAUCUUCCGCAAUGGGCGAAAGCCUGACGGAGCAACGCCGCGCGAGUGAUGAAGGUCUUCGGAUCGUAAAACUCUGUUAUUAGGGAAGAACAUAUGUGUAAGUAACUGUGCACAUCUUGACGGUACCUAAUCAGAAAGCCACGGCUAACUACGUGCCAGCAGCCGCGGUAAUACGUAGGUGGCAAGCGUUAUCCGGAAUUAUUGGGCGUAAAGCGCGCGUAGGCGGUUUUUUAAGUCUGAUGUGAAAGCCCACGGCUCAACCGUGGAGGGUCAUUGGAAACUGGAAAACUUGAGUGCAGAAGAGGAAAGUGGAAUUCCAUGUGUAGCGGUGAAAUGCGCAGAGAUAUGGAGGAACACCAGUGGCGAAGGCGACUUUCUGGUCUGUAACUGACGCUGAUGUGCGAAAGCGUGGGGAUCAAACAGGAUUAGAUACCCUGGUAGUCCACGCCGUAAACGAUGAGUGCUAAGUGUUAGGGGGUUUCCGCCCCUUAGUGCUGCAGCUAACGCAUUAAGCACUCCGCCUGGGGAGUACGACCGCAAGGUUGAAACUCAAAGGAAUUGACGGGGACCCGCACAAGCGGUGGAGCAUGUGGUUUAAUUCGAAGCAACGCGAAGAACCUUACCAAAUCUUGACAUCCUUUGACAACUCUAGAGAUAGAGCUUUCCCCUUCGGGGGACAAAGUGACAGGUGGUGCAUGGUUGUCGUCAGCUCGUGUCGUGAGAUGUUGGGUUAAGUCCCGCAACGAGCGCAACCCUUAAGCUUAGUUGCCAUCAUUAAGUUGGGCACUCUAAGUUGACUGCCGGUGACAAACCGGAGGAAGGUGGGGAUGACGUCAAAUCAUCAUGCCCCUUAUGAUUUGGGCUACACACGUGCUACAAUGGACAAUACAAAGGGCAGCGAAACCGCGAGGUCAAGCAAAUCCCAUAAAGUUGUUCUCAGUUCGGAUUGUAGUCUGCAACUCGACUACAUGAAGCUGGAAUCGCUAGUAAUCGUAGAUCAGCAUGCUACGGUGAAUACGUUCCCGGGUCU
rnacentral:rRNA from 1 species